GGCUGUGGCUCAGUGGUAGAGUGCUCACCUAGCAUGUGCAAGGCUCUGGGUUCGAUCCUUAGCACCA
rnacentral:tRNA from 1 species